rnacentral:rRNA from 1 species
GACGAACGCUGGCGGCGUGCCUAACACAUGCAAGUCGAGCGAUGAAGUUUCCUUCGGGAAACGGAUUAGCGGCGGACGGGUGAGUAACACGUGAGCAACCUGCCUCAAAGAGGGGGAUAGCCUCCCGAAAGGGAGAUUAAUACCGCAUAACAUCAGAGUUUCGCAUGAUUUUCUGAUUAAAGGAGUAAUCCACUUUGAGAUGGGCUCGCGGCGCAUUAGCUAGUUGGUAAGGUAACGGCUUACCAAGGCGACGAUGCGUAGCCGACCUGAGAGGGUGAUCGGCCACAUUGGGACUGAGACACGGCCCAG